UGAAAAUGUGGAUGACCAGGACCAAGUUAUUCUCCCGUAAGGCCACAGUCUGCUGGAGGGAAUGACAUCUCCAGCCAGCUCUUCUCCAGAGAACCCUGUUUCCUCUCUCCUGCUUACUCUUCAAGACUUCCCUUUGAUGUCACCUGGUCUGUGAGACAGACUUUCCUGGGACCCCCCACGGAGAGAGAACCCACUCAUAAGACUCCAAAAUGCCAAGGCGCCCAGCUUCUCAUGCCCACCUCUGAGCUGUGAGGCAGAGGCCUGUUUAUUUUGGGUUGAUGAGUAAAUCAUGUGGAACAGAAUCAAAAGCUCUGCUGAAGUCAACACAGAUGACAUCUGUCACUUCCUCUUAAUCCAUCAGUCAGAGGGAGAGGGCAUUGGAUUAAUUAGACAGGCUCUUUCAAACAUUUGCCAGCAAUGACUCCAUGCCCUCUUUCUCUCAUGCACUGGUGAAGGAAAACAAUGAAUUUUCAUCCUAUUGUUUAUCUUAGAAGAGUCAGGUUUUGAGGUCAAACAUCAGUGUAAAAUUUUGUCUUAAAAAAUGCACAUGCAUUGUAACUGCUAAUAGCUGGUAUGCCAAUCUUUGAAAUCAAUGUUCUUGUUUCUUUACUAAUGUGCCCACUGCAAGGAUAUCAAAGCAUUGGCAGACAUUAAGUCAGUGGCUUUGCCUAAGCCAGGCUUUCUCUCAUUGAAAAGGGAGGGAUCUAUUUGGGGAGAGAGUCUCUGGGGGCCGUGAUUUAUCCAGUUUGAUUACAUGGAACACUGGUCUCGUUUAUUUGCUGCAACAUGGCAUCUGCCUUGGGAGGAGAUGCUCCACAGUCGGCUAGAGCCUCUGCCAGCUGUGGCCACUUGUCUUCAGGGUGCACCUGUGUGAGUCC
rnacentral:lncRNA from 1 species